CAGCCGCCGCGGUAAUACGUAGGGGGCGAGCGUUGUCCGGAAUUACUGGGCGUAAAGGGCGUGUAGGCGGUAGAGCAAGUCAGGUGUGAAACCCCCGGGCUCAACUCGGGGCAUGCAUCUGAAACUGCGAUACUUGAGAGCAGGAGAGGGAAGCGGAAUUUCUGGUGUAGCGGUGGAAUGCGUAGAUAUCAGGAAGAACACCGGUGGCGAAGGCGGCUUUCUGGUCUGCAACUGACGCUGAGGCGCGAAAGCGUGGGGAGCGAACAGGAUUAGAUACCCUGGUAGUCCACGCUGUAAACGAUGGAUACUAGGUGUAGGUGGUAUCAAAGCCAUCUGUGCCGAAGUUAACACAUUAAGUAUCCCGCCUGGGGAGUACGGCCGCAAGGUUGAAACUUAAAGGAAUUGGCGGG
rnacentral:rRNA from 1 species